GUUGCUUAACCCUAUUUGCCUCAGUUUCCUCAUAUGUAAAAUGACAAACUACUCCAGUAUAUUUGCCAAGGAAUCCCCAUAAAUGCUCAGAAAGAGUUGGAUGUGACUAAUGAUUGAAUAACAAAGGAACAAUAAACCCAGAUAGUUCUCCACACUGCAGUAGAAUUCAGCUCUUUUAUAACACAUUUCCACCAGCUGCAGAGCCAAUCAAGUUUCAGUCAACUGUCAAUCCUUGUGGGCUUUCUGUUUUCUACUCUUGGAAGCAGCUUCUCUUCUGCAUUUGUCUACACCCAUCUUCCUCUUUUACUUUACAGCUCUUCUUCUGAUGGCUUCUUCCUACAGUUUUUAAUGUCUUACUUAAUGUGCUUCCUUAUAAGCAGUGAUCCAUCUCUUACUUUAUUGUGUAAAACUCACCAAUUCUAACUUUCUAAAAAGGUACAAUCCCAGAAGUCUUUACAUAAGCUUCCUGAAAUCUCCAAACAAUUAUUUGAUUUAUGAAUUCUAAGUUAUAACCUUCAAAAAUAUAAAAACUAAUUAGGAAGUGUGAAUUUUAGAUUUACUCCACCCUGUUUAGUCUUUAGAAUUUUAGCAACCAGGAAUGUAUACAACCCCACUUAAGGAUUAAGUAUGGGGGAGGAAGGUCUAUGACCCACAUGUGCUAGCAGGUGACAAAUCAGAAACAACUGACUGACUCCGGGUCAUCCAAAGCCAAGUUUAAGCCACCUUUGGUACAUGUAAGACACAGGAAGUGAUGUAAAGAACUGCCUUUAUGUUUCCUGUCACUUAUUGUGAGAGGGACCUUGGUGGUGGAACUCGACCAUGGAGGAGCUCCAGCAAGAGACCUGAGACUACUUCCCUUAGACUGUCAUGUGUUCUUCCUGGAAAAAACAGAGAGAGAAAAACAGAAGGGAAAAGGAAGAAGAUGACACUGGGCCAUAUAGCAACUAGGAAAAGAAAGAGAAGAAGGAGACCAUCUCUGGUCAGGUACUUCCUUCAGAUAGGUUACUGUAAUCUUAACUUCCAGCCUGCCAGAUAAAGGUUAUCCUGGGGGAGCCUUUGAUCUUCAUUAAACCAUAUCUUCCCUAAUUGAUGCUACCUUUCUAUCUAAUCCCAUCUUCUACACUAAAUUCUCUAUGCUGCCAAGUCACUCUCAUCCCAAACUUUUCAACUUCCAAACUUUAAACAUUUCCUACCCUCCCACUCCCAACUAUCUCAUUAGUUCCUGGAAAUCUGCAUGAGCCCUUGACAAAAUUUUAUAUCUAACUUGUACAUAUAAGUGUUAGAAACUUUGAGGCCACAAAGCAUGUCAAGACAGUACUCCUUUCCUCAGAAGUCUUACAAUUCAGCAAGGAAGACUAUAUAUAUAUGUACAUGCAAAACACUUAAAAAGCAUCACAUGAAAUUCUAUGAUAAAUGGCAAAAUGAGAUGUAAGUAUGGUAUACGGAUGGAAAGACUCCUCACCUGUGAGCAGGGAGACCUGGAUUUAAGACUCAGUACAUUACCCAGGGGCUUACUUACACUCUCUGGACCUCAUCAAAUGACCUAGUUAGAUUUUCUAAGACUACACUAGAUAAGAUCUCUUUUUGUUGUAGUAAUUUUAUGAUCCUAUGAGAGACAGGAAAAGUGAGUGCCAAGACAAUACACUAUAAAUAAGUCACUGAAUGUAUUGUCAAAUAUCCAAGCCUAUUUCCAUAAUAGCCAUAUUGUGAAGGAAUUCACAGACCAAAACCAAAUAAACAAGCAAGAAAAAUAAGGAAGUGAAGGGAA
ensembl:lncRNA